rnacentral:misc_RNA from 1 species
AGCUAAUGACACCAUCACCAUCUGCAUCUGCCUCCUCGAUCAUCUCCAUAAGCUCAGUAUACGUUAAUGGUUGACCCAUUUUCGCCAUGGACCCUGCUAGCUCCGCUGCGCUAAUGUAGCCAUUACCAUCGCGAUCGAACAAUUGAAACACAUCUAAAAGUUGGUCUUGAUUUAUAAAAAUCUCUUCAUUCAUAUCAGGUAAUAUGGCAUUGACUAAUUCAUCAAAUUCUAUGAACCCAUUGCCAUUAGAAUCCAUGUUAGCUAAGAGCACAUGAAUUUGAUCACCAGAGGGCUUGAGUCCUAGGGACCUUAACAAUGCUGCAAGCUCUAAAAUGGUGAGGCUACCAUCGGAAUCCAUG